AUCGAACGCUGGCGGCAGGCCUAACACAUGCAAGUCGAACGAGUGGCGGACGGGUGAGUAAUGUCUGGGAAACUGCCUGAUGGAGGGGGAUCACUACUGGAAACGGUAGCUAAUACCGCAUACCAUCGGAUGUGCCCAGAUGGGAUUCGCUCGUGGGUGGGGUAAUGGCUCACCUGGGCGACGAGCCCUCGCUGGUCUGAGAGGAUGACGGGCCACACUGGAACUGAGACACGGUCCAAACUCCUACGGAAGGCAGCAGGGGGGAAUAUUGCACAAUGGGCGCAAGCCUGAUGCAGCCAUGCCGCGUGUGGGAAGAAGGCCUUCGGGUUGUAAAGCACUUUCAGCGAGGAGGCGUUACUCGCAGAAGAAGCACCGGCUAACUCCGUGCCAGCAGCCGCGGUAAUUC
rnacentral:rRNA from 1 species